AUUGAACGCUGGCGGCAGGCCUAACACAUGCAAGUCGAGCGGAUGAAGGGAGCUUGCUCCUGGAUUCAGCGGCGGACGGGUGAGUAAUGCCUAGGAAUCUGCCUGGUAGUGGGGGAUAACGUCCGGAAACGGGCGCUAAUACCGCAUACGUCCUGAGGGAGAAAGUGGGGGAUCUUCGGACCUCACGCUAUCAGAUGAGCCUAGGUCGGAUUAGCUAGUUGGUGGGGUAAAGGCCUACCAAGGCGACGAUCCGUAACUGGUCUGAGAGGAUGAUCAGUCACACUGGAACUGAGACACGGUCCAGACUCCUACGGGAGGCAGCAGUGGGCAAUAUUGGACAAAGGGCGAAAGCCUGAUCCAGCCAUGCCGCGUGUGUGAAGAAGGUCUUCGGAUUGUAAAGCACUUUAAGUUGGGAGGAAGGGCAGUAAGUUAAUACCUUGCUGUUUUGACGUUACCAACAGAAUAAGCACCGGCUAACUUCGUG
rnacentral:rRNA from 1 species